GAUGAAGAACGCAGCGAAAUGCGAUACGUAGUGUGAAUUGCAGAACUCAGUGAAUCAUCGAAUCUUUGAACGCACAUUGCACCUCUCGGUAUUCCGGGAGGUAUGCCUGUUCGAGCGUCAUUUGUACCCUCAAGCUCUGCUUGGUGUUGGGUGUUUGUUCCGCCUCUGUGUGUGAACUCGCCUCAAAACAAUUGGCAGCCGGCGUACUUGUUUCGGAGCGCAGCACAUUUUGCGAUCCAGAUCAACGUACAGCGGCAUCCAAGAAGCCUUAUUUAACGCUCUUGACCUCGGAUCAGGUAGGGAUACCCGCUGAACUUAAGCAUAUCAAUAAGCGGAGGA
rnacentral:misc_RNA from 1 species